rnacentral:rRNA from 1 species
GACAGAGGGUGCAAACGUUGUUCGGAAUUACUGGGCGUAAAGCGCGUGUAGGUUGCCCUGCAAGUCGGAUGUGAAAGCUCUGGGCUCAACCUAGGAAGUGCAUUCGAAACUGCAGGGCUGGAGUCCUGGAGAGGAAGGCGGAAUUCUCGGUGUAGAGGUGAAAUUCGUAGAUAUCGAGAGGAACAUCGGUGGCGAAGGCGGCCUUCUGGACAGUGACUGACGCUGAGACGCGAAAGCGUGGGGAGCAAACAGG